rnacentral:piRNA from 2 species
UCCUCAUGUGGGCAGCUAUCAUUUUUAC